AAUUCUCAACCUUACCCAUUUUGUUAUGAAAUGGUGUAUAGGCUUGGAUAUGGGGGUUUGCAGGUCCACUUCGUGUGGUCUGCUCCUCUGAAAUGUAUUAGUGGGUUGUGCCCCUAAUCUAUUGGUGUGAUAAUUAUCUACGCCGUGGAUCAGGUCGGCGACAUUAGACCUGCUUCUAACCGUCCGACUCGGACAAACAUUGACCA
rnacentral:misc_RNA from 1 species